rnacentral:lncRNA from 1 species
UUACUCUCUGGUCAUUUUUGCAUCAUACGGACAGAGAAAUAUCAAUCUGAAUGAACGUACCGUACAGCUGGUUAUUUUCGAGGGUGUUCAAUUUCGCAAUUUUCAUCGAAUAACAUGAAUAAGGUGCACACAAUAAUUUGGCAAUUUCUAAAUGUUGUUCUAAUGUGGCGGACACAAAACUUUUAUCAAUACCAUUGCAUGUGCAUUCUUAAAUUGGCGGAAUUUAUUUUGGCUAUUUUGUUCUAUCUGCGAAAAUAAAGUAAGCGAAAAUCACCUGCUAUCCGGUAUCCAUCAUAAAGUUGGAAAACUUGUUUCAUAUAAUUGAACAGAUGAUGUUCCAAAUAAAAAACGAAUUAAUAUAUCAUUUGUAUAUUGUCUAUUUUAUUAUUAGAUUCCAAUAUUACUGACUGAUAUCUUAAUAUGUAAUAUAUAUGUACAAAGUAUACGAUUUUUUUUAUCCUCCGAUAAGUUUGCAUGCAAUGGUGUUACUGUAUGAAACAUGUUCAAAACAGGAACAACUACAUUUCACAAAUAAAUGUUUUGGUCUGGUGACAGUAUUCAUCUAGUAAUCUGGAAGUUGAAAGAGCCGCACAGUUUGCUGGGUAACCUGAAUAUUGUUGAUCCUUGUUGUUCGGUUGACUUCCGGUAAAUUUGAAAUAACUUGAUGAAUUUGUAAUUAACCAUUUCCAUUCUCCUUCAUUCUCACCAUCAGUUGCACCAACGAAGAAUUGAUCGUUUGCACCUGGAU